UAAUCCUAACAAACUUUUGAGCCAGAGACUAAUCCCAACAAACUUUGACCAUAUAUCCCAAUUGAUUUUUCCUAACUAAUUAAACCUUAACAAAAAAAGGAAAAACAAAUCGACCGAUAUUGCCAUGGCUAAUUCAAGCUCUAUGGAAUCGAAUGACGAUCAAGAAAAUAACGAUUACAGUGAUGUUGAAGAUCAAACUGAUAAUUUCGUUGACAAAAGUAAAGAAAUUGGACUCGGAGCUCAGGACGAACGAACCAAGCGAAUUCCUUAGCAAAAUCGCGGAAGUGAGGUACUGCGGGGGAUGAUGGACACGAGUAGUGGCGAGGAGUUUCACUUUAUUAUCAUCCACCUAGUUAUGCUUACAGUUUUAAUAGUUUAAUAGUUUUAAUUAAAGACUCUUAGUAAGUUAUGUAGUUUCAUUUUAAUAAUAUUAACGGAUUAUUAUAUAUAUUUUGGAGUAUUUAAAGGCUUAUGAUUGAUGUUUGCCUUGUAAUUUCCGAAAAAGAAGUUACGGCAGGUAAUGUCCCGACCAAUUAGGUUAAUUCCGCUGCUAAUUAUGCUUUAAUUAUUGAAUUAGA